ensembl:processed_transcript Etohd2 ethanol decreased 2
CCUUCCGUAUGGCAUACACUAACGACAGACCCCCCGGAAGUGGGGACACGGCUCUGUGACUCUGGAGCUGCUUCGAUAGUAAAGCAAGCGGGUAGACACCAUACGACAGGUUUCCAGUUAUUGAAAUGUCACUCUUGUGUAGCAGUUUGUGUCAAGAAAACUGAGCACGUACGUAGCUACCAGCCUCGCAUGGAAGCACGGGCAUGGUGGCUCUAUCCGAGCCUCUGAGAGCGAGCGCCCUGGGCGCUACGUUAGCAUCGGUUCUUGAGUCCCGAUCCCGGGCCCCGUGCACAUUUGGCUAGCCUUUCCUGCUAGCCGGUCCCAUUUGAUUAGCUGUGCGCCUGUCACCACGCCUCGGCUUCCUUCGCGGCCCGUGAUGACGAAGCUUGCCAAAGCAGUUCACAGUGAGCAAGAGACUGUUAGAAGGUGAAGAUCGGGUGUUCAGAACUCCUGCUGUAAAAACUGGAUUCUGAGUUUCCGCUGUUUUAGAACAGAACAGGGCAUCGGCCCUGGCCCUGCGAUCGCUUGCAGAGGAAGCUUUGACUUGGCCAUGGCUGCGAGCCUGCUAUCUUAUCCGCUGAGAAGCGUGCCUCACUUGUCUAAUGGUAUCAGUAUAAGCCAUCAAAAACACCAGGCUGCUGGGCAGAAUUUUUUUUAAGAAUCAAAAUGUAGGAAACCUUUUUAAGGCUAGAAGAAAACAUGACAAUUCUGUUUAAUUUUAGGGGUAAGUACACUCCUCUCCCUCAACAACCGACAAAACAUCCAAGUAGAAAAUAACUACCAGGUAUAAAGAUUGGCCUGGCUGCGUAUUUCUUCUCCGUUCUAGGGGCAGAGGGAUAAACAACACUAAGCGCUUUUUCAGUAGGCGUGGCACUGUUCCAGCCAGAAAGCAGCGCUGUCACUUCACAGCCAGAGGCAGGAGGAAAGGAAGCAGGCCAGCAGCUGAGCAGGAGGAAAGGAAGCAGGCCAGCAGCUGAGCCGUCACGUAGCAGGGAGGCCCCGGUUGCACAACCCAUGAGUUUGAUGGUCACCAUUUUUAUUUUUUUACCAUGAUUUCCAAUUUCUUAAUGAUUUCCAUUUUGACAUGACUCUUUCAUAACUAGACUAUGACCAGUCUAGUUCACACAUAUAUGCCUCUCGUGAGUCUCCCUCGUUGUGCCAAUGUCCUUAGCAAGCUCUCUCUCUGCCCCCCAGUCUCCUGCUUGCACACCCCAGACCCGGUGCACAGCUAUCAAAGGGGAACAGCAUGGGCACCCUAUUAAGGAGAUGUGUACUGUCAGCGCUUUGGUUGACUUUUCUAAUGACUCAUAAGAAAAUAAUGUGGAUAAAAUUACACGUUCAAAGUUCGAUUUUAUUUCAAAAUGAUAAAUAAACCGGCAUAGUUCUGACUCUGUACUAUUUCAGAAAGGCUUGUGAAGUUCAUUAACAGUUUAGAGAGGGCUCCAGUCAGACCAGAAGGUUGCCAAUCAAACUUGUGAUUGGCAGAGACAGCAGCCUCUUUGAUCUUCAGAGGUUUGUAAAAGCUCUCCACCCUAAUUUCUGUGUAUCAUAAAAAGUAAAAAGCACUUUUAUUCUGUCCUUUUCUCCUUUAAUUUUUCUUUUUUAAACCAGCAAAAAGGGACUACUUAUUUUUAUGACUUCAUUUUUAUGAGCACAACAGUUCUGUCAAUUACUUAGAGAAGGAAGCCCUCAAAGAUGUGCCAGUGGUGCUGUGGUCGUCCACCGAGGCCCACACUGACAGGUGCUUGCAUUCCAUGCUAUCAUUUCUACAAUGAGCCAUGAAGAAUGCUUGUAGACCCUAUGUACAGCAGUAUAGUCCACAUGUCCUUGAUGUGCGUCCAUACCACGAUCCAGGAACAACAGAGAGAAUCCCCUCUUGGAAAUCAAAAAGGGGAUGUGUAGGGAAAGAGGGCUAACUCCUCUGGUGAGCAGCACACUAUUUUUAGAGUGCUUUGAAAGAACUAAAAUCCAUGACGCUGUAGUCAUUGAAUUCUGGCCCUCAUAUUUUUCUUUUAAGUUGACUUUCUAUUAAAAUCUUCAAAUCUCUGGAGAUUGGUGGUAUAGUUAGACUAUAUUAAAAUUUUUCUUUUCCUUAUUAACAAUUUCAUUAAAAUUUAAAAAAUUACGAUGCCCCUCAACUGUUACGUUGAAGCCUGAUCUGUGUCACUGUGUCCUGUGCCAUGAACCUAAUUUCCCAAGUGGCCACGGACACCUGAGUGGCAUUUCCAGUGCUGCAGUUCCUUCCCUCAUGAUUCCUGCUGGGUCCUCUUCACUGAGGCUCUCCCCUGAGUCAUAUAUUUACUGGAAAGGCUACCUAGGAGGGAAAACAAAAUCCAACAUAAACGAAAAGAAUGGUGUUUGAGCAAAGUCACACAAUACUUAUUGUCAGUUACUGACAGACACGUGUCCCACCACAAAGGGCACUCGUCCUGAGUCGAGCAGUUAGGCUAGGUAUAAACAAGUGCACAGCCAUCAGAGGCACUGGGCAGUGCUUAGACACUGCUUCCUCAGUGCUGGUAAGGUACAGCCCCGAGGCUGUUCAAUGCAGCCACAGGCAGGCACUGAGGCUGGAAGAAACAUUUUGAAAGUUCUUUACAUAGGAUAUUCUUUUUGUUUGUAGCUCACAGACUGCAAAGAGAUCGCUGGCCAGAAAUUAGUACCUCAUACCAUUACCCUUUAGAAGUCUAGUAAUACCUUAUGGAUGUACAAGGAGAAAAUAAAAUUCUCUGUACUUAAUUAGUAGUGAAGCCAUCCACAGCUUACAACAUGUACUGUGUUCUGGAGUCUGAGCACAUACAAGAGGGAAUGAGAGCCCAUGUGGCUACUACUGUACAAUGAAGGCUCUACUCAAACCAAUGGAAGGAAUGCAAAGGGUUUAGUAACUGGUACCAUGCCAGCUACAGGUUUUAAAAGCAGAAUCUCAUUGUGAGGCCUUGGAUGACUUAAAAUUCAUUAUGUAGCCCAGGCUAGCCUAGAAUUGCUUUUUGCCUGCUUCUGAGUGUGGGGAUUAAAUACUACACCAUGACCACCACACCUGGCUUGCACCCAUAACUUCUGAGGGGGAGAAGGAAGCUAGCUCCCUUCUUAAACUGUCACUCUUGUCAUUUCCAAAUGAAGUGUAGAAUUAAAUGUAAG